UGGGGAAUAUUGCACAAUGGGCGAAAGCCUGAUGCAGCGACGCCGCGUGAGGGAUGACGGCCUUCGGGUUGUAAACCUCUUUCAGCAGGGAAGAAGCGGAAGUGACGGUACCUGCAGAAGAAGCGCCGGCUAACUACGUGCCAGCAGCCGCGGUAAUACGUAGGGCGCAAGCGUUGUCCGGAAUUAUUGGGCGUAAAGAGCUCGUAGGCGGUUAGUCGCGUCUGCUGUGAAAACUCGAGGCUCAACCUCGGGCUUGCAGUGGGUACGGGCUGACUAGAGUGCGGUAGGGGUGACUGGAAUUCCUGGUGUAGCGGUGGAAUGCGCAGAUAUCAGGAGGAACACCGAUGGCGAAGGCAGGUCACUGGGCCGCAACUGACGCUGAGGAGCGAAAGCAUGGGGAGCGAACAGGAUUAGAUAGCCCUGGUAGUCCAUGCCGUAAACGUUGGGCACUAGGUG
rnacentral:rRNA from 1 species